GGGCUCAUAGCUCAGCUGGUAGAGCGCCCGGCUCAUAACCGGGCGGUCGGUGGUUCGAGUCCACCUGAGCCCACCA
rnacentral:tRNA from 3 species